UCUAAAUUUGUUCCGGAUAGACAAUAUGCACUACCUGGAAUAGAAACGGUAGGUAAACAACAAUGCAUACAUGAUUGUGGAAUUUUCCGUGCACGGGUACAUUCCCGCUCUUGACAGCACAGACCUACAAAAAUGUCAUUCAUUUACCUACGAUGAACAAAACCCUGCCGGUUUGCCUUGCAGUUCAUUCAUUAUCUUGUUUCAUCGUGUUAGGAACAGUCGUAUUUAGCAUUCGCUCACCAAACAGCAGAUCAGAACAAAAAAUGGCCACAUUACGACCAAAAACGCCCUGCGAAUAUUCCUCCGAAGAUGGAACCUAGCGUUCCAUCGGACAGGAAUAUCUCGCAGAGGCAAUAUCACGUUUCGAAAACACUUUGUUGUACGUUUUCGGUGGAGGAGCAGACUUUUUCGGAAGCCAUAAGAUUAUGCAAUUGCAUUGGAAAAUCAUAGAAUGAAAAUCUGAAGUAUUAUAACAUCAAUCCGUUUAACCUUUGAAUAAAUAAGUCAAUGAAAUCUAAAA